GGGGGUGUAGCUCAGUUGGGAGAGCAUCUGCUUUGCAAGCAGAGGGUCAUCGGUUCAAGUCCGUUCACCUCCACCU
rnacentral:tRNA from 1 species